rnacentral:rRNA from 1 species
GCAAGAGGAGCCUGGAGACAGGUGCUGCAUGGCUGUCGUCAGCUCGUGUCGUGAGAUGUUGGGUUAAGUCCCGCAACGAGCGCAACCCUUGUCUUUAGUUGCCAUCAUUCAGUUGGGCACUCUAAAGAGACUGCCGGUGUCAAACCGGAGGAAGGUGGGGAUGACGUCAAGUCCUCAUGGCCUUUAUGACCAGGGCUACACACGUACUACAAUGGCCGGUACAAAGGGCAGCCACUUAGCGAUAAGGAGCCAAUCCCGUAAAGCCGGUCUCAGUCCGGAUUGGAGUCUGCAACUCGACUCCAUGAAGUUGGAAUCGCUAGUAAUCGCAGAUCAGCACGCUGCGGUGAAUACGUUCCCGGGCCUU